rnacentral:rRNA from 1 species
CCUACGGGUGGCUGCAGUGGGGAAUAUUGGACAAUGGGCGAAAGCCUGAUCCAGCCAUGCCGCGUGUGUGAAGAAGGCCUUCGGGUUGUAAAGCACUUUCAGUGGGGAAGAAAGCCUUGGGGCUAAUACCCUCGAGGAAGGACAUCACCCACAGAAGAAGCACCGGCUAACUCCGUGCCAGCAGCCGCGGUAAUACGGAGGGUGCGAGCGUUAAUCGGAAUUACUGGGCGUAAAGCGCGCGUAGGCGGUCUGAUAAGCCGGUUGUGAAAGCCCCGGGCUCAACCUGGGAACGGCAUCCGGAACUGUCAGGCUAGGGUGCAGGGGAGGAAGUUAGAAUUCCCGGUGUAGCGGUGAAAUGCGUAGAGAUCGGAGGGAAUACCAGUGGCGAAGGCGGCCUUCUGGACUGACACUGACGCUGAGGUGCGAAAGCGUGGGUAGCAAACAGGAUUAGAUACCCUGGUAGU